rnacentral:tRNA from 1 species
GGAGGUAUAGCUCAAGUGUUAGACUGCAUGCUUAACACGCAUAAGGUUCUGGGUUCAAUCCCCAGUACCUCCU